rnacentral:rRNA from 1 species
UCGAGAAUCUUCGGCAAUGGGCGCAAGCCCGACCGAGCGACGCCGCGUGCGGGAUGAAGGCCCUCGGGUUGUAAACCGCUGUCAGAGGGGAUGAAAUGCCAGGCAGCAAUCUGUUUGGUUUGACAUAUCCUCGGAGGAAGGACGGGCUAAGUUCGUGCCAGCAGCCGCGGUAAGACGAACCGUCCAAACGUUAUUCGGAAUCACUGGGCUUAAAGGGUGCGUAGGCGGCCCGGAAAGUUGGGUGUGAAAUCCCUCGGCUCAACCGAGGAACUGCAUUCAAAACUACCGGGCUUGAGGGAGAUAGAGGUGAGCGGAACUCAGGGUGGAGCGGUGGAAUGCGUUGAUAUCCUGGGGAACACCAGUUGCGAAGGCGGCUCACUGGGUCUCUUCUGACGCUGAGGCACGAAAGCUAGGGGAGCGAAGA